UGCAAAAUGAAUUGAGAAUUCAGAAGAAGAUUACCAGUUCACUAAGGAAAGAUAUCAGGUUGAUGCUCUUCAGUGCUAUCUUUCCAACUGAGAUACAGACGAUGGAUUAUGAUUUUCUUAUUUUGAUGGAGUUGAUAGUGGUGUCAUUGU